CAGCAGCCACGGUAAUACGUAGGUGGCAAGCGUUGUCCGGAAUUAUUGGGCGUAAAGGGCUCGCAGGCGGUUUCUUAAGUCUGAUGUGAAAGCCCCCGGCUCUACCGGGGAGGGUCAUUGGAAACUGGGAAACUUGAGUGCAGAAGAGGAGAGUGGAAUUCCACGUGUAGCGGUGAAAUGCGUAGAGAUGUGGAGGAACACCAGUGGCGAAGGCGACUCUCUGGUCUGUAACUGACGCUGAGGAGCGAAAGCGUGGGGAGCGAACAGGAUUAGAUACCCCCGUAGUCCCUGUCUCUUAUAC
rnacentral:rRNA from 1 species